UGCUUCCCUUGAUCAAUUUCUUCUGCAGUAAUCGGAUCUGCCUCUGUUUUUUAAGUGAUGAUACUAGUUUGGGAUGCCUUUUAGAUGAGACUGAAAAAGAUAGUAAACAAAUAAUAAUAUGUGAUGUGUAAGAGUAUUUGGUUUGUAUGCUUUUUGGUUGAAAAUGCUCCAUCUACAUUCUUUCUUUUUUGAGUUUUUCCAAAACUCUUUUUUUCCUUUUGCCUCACUUGGCGAACAUCUUUUUAGCCACGUGAAUCUCCCAUAUUUAGAGGUGUCAGGUUGACCUUGUUGGAGGUAGUGAUUAGGUUGGGGUCUAUCUGUUGCUCAAUCGCCUAAAAGAAGAAAAAAAAAAUGUUUGUGGUUUCCAGAUUUAACAUGAUAAUUGUUUAAACUUCUAGCAUUAGCUUUUGUGUCUCUUUGGUUCUUAUAUUGCAGUUCACCCCUUCACAUGCAGGGGCUAUCUUUUCUCCUAGCCAUGGUACUCAAAGUGCUCAGACCAGAUCGAUAUUAUGAUAGUGAUGAUGAAUAUGCUCCUGAUAGGGUUCCACUCCUGAGGAAUUUUGUUCACCCACCGACCUAUGUGGUUGGAGACCCUGUUUAUGGAUCCAAAACUGAUGCUUGGACUAUCAGGAUUAAUGAGAAGGCAAACAGGUGACAAGGGUUUGACCUCAAACUCGGAUGAUGGAUAGGAAAUGGAAGUGUUACUAUCUAAUUCCUAUCGGCCCAGAGCAGGAUGAAAUUCAAUAUAAAGGUUUAAGGAGGAUAAGCUUCUGACCAACUUUGAGUUGGUGGAAUUGUAUUUCCUUGUAUAGACACUGCCCCAAUCACAGUUUUGGGUUUUGAAUGAUCGAAAUAUUAUAUGUUAUCUGAAAAACCGUAUUUUUUGAAUAUGAAUAAUAAAAGGUUUGAGAAAAAUUUUAAAUGUCUUCAA